UUUUGCAGGCCAUCACUGGUCAGCUCCUCUUAAAUGCAUUAGCGGAACUCUAUGCAGUACCGGCUUCGGUUUGAUAAUCCUAUCUAUGCUGUCGCUGUGAACUGUGCUGUUUGGCUUACAAUUGUCUUCGGACUGUCACCUUGUGUGGCAUAAUCUUUAAGCUUGACCUCAAAUCAGGUAGGACUACCCGCUGAACUUAA
rnacentral:misc_RNA from 1 species